UAGGAUUCCCUCAGUAGCUGCGAGCGAACAGGGAAGAGCCCAGCACCGAAUCCCGCGGCCGACUUCGGACGCCGGGAAAUGUGGUGUUAGGGAGGAUUCAUCAUCUCGAGGUCGUGCGGCGCGUCCAAGUCCUUCUUGAACGGGGCCACUGCCCAUAGAGGGUGCCAGGCCCGUAGCGACCGCUGCCGAUCGCGAGAGAAUCUCUCCUCAGAGUCGGGUUGCUUGAGAGUGCAGCCCUAAGUGGGUGGUAAACUCCAUCUAAGGCUAAAUAUGACCACGAGACCGAUAGCGAACAAGUACCGUGAGGGAAAGUUGAAAAGCACUUUGAAGAGAGAGUUCAAGAGUACGUGAAACCGUUCAGGGGUAAACCUGAGAAACCCGAAAGGUCGAAAGGGGAAAUUCAUUCGCGUUUCGACGAAGGCUGGGUAUGGUCGCGAGACGUGCGACGUUUACGUUGUGCGCUCCUUUCGUACCCUGAUCCGGCGUCGAACGCGUGCAUUUUUCCCCUAGUAGGACGUCGCGAUCCGUUGGGUGUCGGUCCAAGGCCCGUGGUGGAGCCCGUUCGGCGGUUCGCCGUCGGACGGACCCGCGGUGUUUCCCGGCCGACUCGCUCGACGGUAAUCAGAUGGCGCGGGGCCGCGACUUUAGUUCGCGUCCGGCUUACGACAAGCGCGUUCGGUGUGCUGGCGAUCGGAGUUAGUGCCGUUCCUGGCCCCGGACGACUGUUGGUCGUGAUGUUCUCGGACAGUCUCCGUUGAAACGCCGAUCUGCGACGCUAUAGCUUUGGGUACUUUCAGGACCCGUCUUGAAACACGGACCAAGGAGUCUAGCAUGUGCGCGAGUCAUUGGGACAUUACUAAACCUAAAGGCGCAAUGAAAGUGAAGGUUCGCCUUGCGCGGACCGAGGGAAGAUGGGCGGUUCACUAACUUAAGUGGCCGCUCCGCAUUCCCGGGGCGUCUCGUUCUCAUCGCGAGAAGAGGCGCACCAAGAGCGUACACGCUGGGACCCGAAAGAUGGUGAACUAUGCCUGGUCAGGACGAAGUCAGGGGAAACCCUGAUGGAGGUCCGUAGCGAUUCUGACGUGCAAAUCGAUCGUCGGAACUGGGUAUAGGGGCGAAAGACUAAUCGAACCAUCUAGUAGCUGGUUCCCUCCGAAGUUUCCCUCAGGAUAGCUGGCGCUCGUAGCGCACGAGUCUCAUCCGGUAAAGCGAAUGAUUAGAGGCAUUGGGGUCGAAACGACCUCAACCUAUUCUCAAACUUUAAAUGGGUGAGAUCUCCGGCUUGCUUGAACUUAUGAAGCCGCGAGACACGGAUCAGAGUGCCAAGUGGGCCAUUUUUG
rnacentral:rRNA from 1 species